rnacentral:rRNA from 1 species
AUGUGCUCCCUUGCUGUGCCUCCACCAUCUUCAGCAGAGGACUUCUUGGAUUGGUGGCACUCUGCGCGCGCGACCUCUCCCGCCCCGUCCAGAAAAAGGCUCUUCUCCAUGAUCCUCCUCAUUGCCUGGUCCAUCUGGACCCAUCACAACGCUUGCAUUUUCGACGGGAUGCAGCCUUCCACACUUCGCCUCUCCAACUUCAUCAAGGAAGAGGCUAGAGCUUGGGCCAAGGCGGGGGCCAGUGGGCUCGCCAGCGUACUGCCGUAA